CUGAGAUUUGGCUCCCAACAAACAAGGACUGCGAUAUGUGGCCAGCUAACCUAUUCCUUAUAUUUUCCCCCUAGGACUCUGAUCUUUGAAGAAAUUAGUUUGGCUAUGGAACCUUCUAACUGAGAUCCUUCAUGUCCUGUGAGAACCCCAAAGACCCAGAUGGAGUGGUCUUCAAAUGCUGGAAGCCUGCGCCAGUGGGCAGUGUGGAGAGCCUAAGAAGAUGCCCGCAGGUCAGAUCUGGAGAAGGCAGAUUGCUAAACUUGGUUACCACUCUGCCCACUUCACCAGCGGUAGGACAGACACACCCUAAUUAUACCACCUCCUAGAAAUGGCAACCGGAACUUCUACAUUGCUGCUUAAAAACAGUGACACCAACCAACAUACGGAGAUGUCAUCGUUAUUAAACAGCACAUGAUAGCUGGAGACGGUGCAAUAAUAAUCUAAACAAUCACAAAGAAACGUUCUCUGAAGAUCCAGAAACGGAUUUUGAAGACU
rnacentral:lncRNA from 1 species